GAUGAACGCUGGCGGCGUGCCUAAUACAUGCAAGUCGAGCGAACAGACGAGGAGCUUGCUCCUCUGACGUUAGCGGCGGACGGGUGAGUAACACGUGGAUAACCUACCUAUAAGACUGGGAUAACUUCGGGAAACCGGAGCUAAUACCGGAUAAUAUAUUGAACCGCAUGGUUCAAUAGUGAAAGACGGUUUUGCUGUCACUUAUAGAUGGAUCCGCGCCGCAUUAGCUAGUUGGUAAGGUAACGGCUUACCAAGGCAACGAUGCGUAGCCGACCUGAGAGGGUGAUAGGCAACACUGGAACUGAGACACGGGCCAGACUCCUACGGGAGGAAGCAGUAGGGAAUCUUCCGCAAUGGGCGAAAGCCUGAAGGAGCAACGCCGCGUGAGUGAUGAAGGUCUUCGGAUCGUAAAACUCUGUUAUUAGGGAAGAACAAAUGUGUAAGUAAAUAUGCACGUCUUGACGGUACCUAAUCAGAAAGCCACGGCUAACUACGUG
rnacentral:rRNA from 1 species